AUCUAAUAAAAAUUUAAAAAAUUAUUUCCUUUACCUUGACUAGCAAUGAAUACUAUUUGGCUCUUUUGGACAUGUGUAGAUGUAGUGACCUAGCUUGCAGUCAAUUGUUCAAUACUUUUUUCAUUAAUUAAUUUAUUCAUUUUUAUUGGAUAUAGUUCUUUACUUACAUUUCAAAUGACAUUCCCUUUCCCAGUUUCUUGUCUAUAAGCCCCCUAUCCCCUCUCCCUUCUCCAUGAAGGUACUCCCACCCAUUCACCCCCAUUACAAAUCCACUUGACAUUCCCCUGCACUGGGGGUCCAACCUUGGCAGGACAAAGGGCUUCCCCUUCCUCUGGUGCUCCAACAAGACUAUUGUCUGUUUUAUAUGCAGUUGGAGCCAUAGGUCAGUUCAUGUAUAGUCUUUCCCUAGUGAUUUAGUCCCUGGAAGCUCUGGUUGGUUGGCAUUGUUGUUCUUAUGGGGUUGCAAGGCCCUUCAGCUCUUUGAAUCCUUUCUCUAAUUCCUCCUUUCCUGCUAGUGUUCACCUCUGUAUUUUACAUGCUCUGGUUUUGUCUUUCAGGAAAUGUCUAUAUCUGGUCCUGUCAGCAUGCACUUCUUAGCUUCAUGAAAUUUAUCUAGUUUUGGUGGCUGUAUAUAUAGGGACCACAUGUCGGGCAGGCUCUGAAUGGACUUUCCUGAAGUCUUUGCUCUAAACUUUGCCUCCAUAUUUCCUCCUAUGGAUAUUUUCAUCCUUUUAAGAAGGAGUGGAAGCAUCCACAUUUUGGUUUUCCUUCUUCUUGAGCUUUGGUCUGUGCAUUACAUCUUGGGUAAUUCGAGCUUUUGUGCUAAUAUCCACUUAUCGAUGGGUACAUACAAUGUGUGUUUUUCUGUGAAUAGGCUACCUCACUCAGGAUGAAAUUUUCUACUUCAUUCCAUUUGCCUAUGAAUUUCAUGAAGUCAUUGCUUUUGAUUACUGAGUAGUACUCUAUUGUGUAGGUAUAACACAGUUUCUGAAUCCAUUCCUAUGUUGAAGGGCAUCUGGGUUCUUUCUAGCUUCUGGCUAUUAUAAAUAAGACUGCUAUGAACAUAGCUUUAAUUGUAGUAGACAAAAAAUGUCACUCAGCGGAAUAGAUUAAUAAAAAUGUUCAUUUAUACAAUGCACUACUCAGCUAUUAAAAAUAAGGGCAUCAUGACUUUUGCAGGCAAAUGGAUAGAAGUAAAAAAACAUCUUGAUUGGAGUAACCUGAGUCAAAGGUACAUGCACUGUAUGUACUCAUGACUGUAUAUAAGCCAUAAAGUACAGAAUAUUCACUCUAUAAUCCAUAUGCCCAAAGCUAAAUAACAAGCAGGACUGAUGGUAGGAUGCUUGAAUCUCACUCAGAAAAUGAAAUGAAAUAGUCAUCACAAGUGGAUGCUGGAAGGAAUAUGUGUCAGAGAGAAGAUGAGAACUGGCAUAUAUGAGGGGUCACAUAUAUUGAUGUUAAACUCCUUGGUCCUCUUGCACGUUCCCCAACAACUGGAGCAGGGGCUCCUAUUUCUGUUGCUUGUCUGAGCAUCCUGUUCUCCUGAGUGAGCUACCUUGUCUGGCCUCAGAGAGAGCAAAACUGCUUAGUCUUGCAGUGUUUUGAGGUGCCAAGGUGGAUUAGUACCCAAGAGGGAUCUACUCCCUUCUCAGUGCUGAAGAGGACAAGGGAGGUAGGGGAAGGGAUUGAGAGGAGGUAAUGUGAUCAGAAUGCACAGUGAUUCAAUACAUAAAUUAAUGAGGAAAAAAAUUAAAAAACUACACUCAGGUUUGCUUCCCAAGGAAGCUGGUUGAUUGAGAAGUGAUAGGGAUAAUUAGUCUUCCAUGUGUAAUUGUUUAAGAUCUGUGAUGUGCACAUGAGAGUUUCUCCUACUUUCAUACAUACAGAACUUUCCAAAUAGACAAUCUGGAAGAAUGGUGAAAAUCUCUGUUGAGUAAACCUAGAUAAUCAAUGCCUUCAUCCAGGUGACUUCAGUGUUAAUGGCAAAGUCUUCCACUUCUUACACUUAUGUUUUGAGGCAUUAUUUAUGUGUAACUUACUAGUUAGACAUUAUAACCAGACACAAAGAUCAUGGAUGACUCAGGAAUAGGUACAUAGGUUCAUAUCAUUAAAAUGAUGUAAACACCUUGAAAUUCUUACAUUUAAAACAUUUUUAUAUAUUUUAUUUUUUAGUAAACAAGGCUCAACAUUUUCUCUUUUCCAGAUCAAACAAAUGAUAUGUCUAGUCCUUCAUAGAGAUCAUUUCUUAAUCCCUUUGCACUGUCACCUGCAAGUGUUGAAAGCCUUCAGCCUCUGAAGCCAGGUUCUCAUCAUCCAGACUACUGGUUCACAGGAGAGUUCUUCAUAUUCCUAUAAUUGCUUUCUUAUAGGUUAACAAAAACUGCUUCCUCUAAUAGUUAGCAUAUAUAGUGAAAAUGAAAAUGUAUAGCAUUUGGUCCCAGCUUCCCCAAGCAACCUCAGCCUUUAAUGAAAAGCUUGCAUCUGAGAGGGAAGGCAAGAGGUACUGAUGCAACAAAAUAGUGUCUGCAUAGAUGGUGGUUAGACUUGGUCAGAAAGACAGAUGUGGCACCCUUUACCAUGCUAUCAUCUCAAGAGAAAGCACACAGUCGAAUCUAUCAUGGAUUAUUUCUGGUGCCUCCUUUAGAUUUCUGUGAAAGAAUCAGAAAAAAAGCAAAACCUCCAUUGUAUCCUAUAUCCAUGAUGUGAUAGCAGCAUUUUAUGUCUCAAACAUGAUGAAGAUAUGAGAAUUUCUUGGAAAGAAUAUUGAGCUCGAGAGGGCCUUUGAGGAGCAGACAAGGUAAUAGGAGUUUUUUUAACCUAAAAUUCAUCGUAUACAUUAUCAAGCUUAAAUGAAAAAAAUUAAAUUAAUGCGGCUGAAGAAAUUAUUCAGCUUUUCUUUCAAAGACAAUUACUCAAGUCCUAGCAUCCAUGUGGUGGCUCACAAUCAUCUAUAAUUUUAGUUACAGGGAAUAAUAUGCUCUCUUCUGGACACUAAAUCCAGUAGGUAUACACAUGUUACACAAAACAUGCUUUUAGGUAAAAUACGCAUAUGCUAUGCGUUUAAAAUAUUUUUUGAAAGAAAAAAAGUAAAGUUAUGAAAGAAAAUAAUUAAAAGCAUAGUGGCCUGCAAUGUAAUUUCAACCCUUCUAAGGCAGACAGACAGAGAUCUGUGAGUGACUGAUAAGCCUUGUCUAUAUAAGAAAAUCCAGGUUACCAAAGGAUACAGUAUGAUGUCUUGUCUGAAAUUUCCAAAAGGAAAGAAAAGAAUUUGCCUGAGGCAAAAAGCAUGGUAGGAGGAGAAAGGUAAAAACUAAUGCAAGUGCCUGGAUAGAUCUGUAAGCUAAUCAUGGGCAGAUUUCUGAACUGCCCCUGCUUUUUUUCUAAUUACCUGCAAACAUCAGAGAGGAAUGAUCCUAUUCCUCAAAACUUAUGACUUUUCUAUCCUAGUAAAUUACAACAGCUUACAGCUCAUUUAGAUUCAGAAACCAAACAGUGGAGUAACACUUAAAGAGAAAGGCAAUUACUUUCUGUGUAGCGAAGACCUAUAUAUAGACCUAAAACUUAAGAUGUUGUCAUACUUAAGAGAUUUAGAAGAGUUCCCAUCCCCUGUAACUUUUCUCCAUCUGAACUUCUCUAAAGAAGGAAUUUCUAUGUUCAGUCCCUAGCAGAAAAUAUGAGAAAAACAAAAUGUCUGUAGCUUUGGGCAGAAACUGGUCAGAAGUGGGCAAAUUUGCAAUAAUCUCAGAGAAUUAUUUUGGUCAAGGAUGACCACAGUUGCAAAAAUUAAUAUUAACAAUUACUUUUCCUAUCACAUAACCUAGAAGACCACAGUCUCUACUAAAGAUGUACAAACAACACCUCAGCUCCUGACAGAAAUGGUCCUCCAGAAUAAAGAAACUCUAGACACCCUUUCUGCAGAAGUCAGAUCUGUAUAUGCCCUUAUUAAUGAAACUUGUUGUUUCUGCAUCAAUAAUUCAAAACAACAGGGGGAAAAUCUCUGAAAAAUCAAACAAACAUUCAAUCCUGACAGGGAAUAACUCAAGAAUUAGUACAGAUCUUCUGGUUAGGACAGCUCUUGCAUACCUUUUUUUCAGUUAGCUUAGGCUCUCUUUCUUCCUAUAGCUUCUUUUUUUCUUUACCCUAUUUUGCACCUUUGGCUUACUUAAUGUUCAAGUACAACGACUUAACAAUGAGCAUGGACCACAUGGUAACCACUGAGGCUUGAAGUUUCCCAGCAUAUCAACAUUACAGAAUCUAGUUAACAUCAUAAUUUUACUUUCAUUUCUGAUGCUUCACUAUGUGUUGUGAGAGUUUCCUUAUCCCUCUGCCAAAUUUUGUAUUGGCCUUGCUAGAUGGUAUGGGUAUAUAGAAUAUCUAUCUCUAUAAGCAAAAUAAUUCUUUGGAAAAAACUCCAAAAUUGUGGAAGCAUAUAGUACUAUUUCUCAGUCAACUCCUAUACUAGAAUCCACAAAACACUCACAUGUUUGCACCAAGAAUAGAGAAAUUGAAGAUUUAUUAACUGAAAGAUGGUUUUAGGAACGUUUAAGCAAAUGCUAGCAAGGAUGAAAGCAUAUAAUCGAGAGAAACAAUGAGGCCAGAUCCAGAAUGUAGGACCUUGACAGUUGAGGGCAAAAGUUCAGUUAAUAUGUACAGUAGUGUCCAUGAUUAAUUCCCUGUGUAAGUGAUUUCAGGAUGAAUGACAAGGACUGAAAUACCCCACAAGAUGGAGAUUCUAUUAAGAAUCUGCCAUUUACAGGAUCAUACAUUGAAGGAAAAGAUAGUAUGUCAUGUGCUUGUCUCGGCAGCAAAUAUACUAAAAGGGGAAUGAUAUAUCACAGACCCUGCACAAGGAUGACACACAAAUUUGUGAUGUGUUUCAUAUUUUUGAAGUUAAGAAGUGCAUGCUGACAGCAGCCUGUUAACAGCUGUUUCCUGAGAGGCUUAGCCAGAACAUGUCCAAUACAGAGGUGAAUGCUAGCAGUAAACCAUUGAACUGAGAACGGGGUGCCCAUUGAAGGGAUUAGAGAAAGUAUUAAAGGAACUGAAGGGUCACGCAACCCAAUACGAACAACAGUACCAACAAACCAGAGCUCCCAGGGACUAAACCACUAUUAAAAGACUAUGCAUGGGCAGACUCUUGGUUACAGCUGCAUAUGUAGCAGAGGAUGGCGUUGUCAUUGCAUGUAUUGAUGCCCACUCUACCUAGAAGUUUUUAUGUCCAAAGUGGAGAACACUAAUGAACAUGUACAAACAUAAAUAUUUAAAAAGCAGUUUAACCCAAUGUCCUUAAAAAGUCAAACUGCAUUUAUAUACUCACAAACCUUUGGCUCUCACUUCUCAGCCAUGAGUUUUUACCAAGUUUACGUUGCCAGCCAUGAAUUCUUUUACUCUUGUGGUAGAAGCUUCAAAGUUACUAUAAGUGGAGUUUGUUGCUCCCAGAACAUUUGUGCAAUGAUAGCACCAGUAUGCACAUCUUGCCUGGCAAAUAGGCAUUAGAGCAUUCAAUAUAACUUGCUGAGUAAAACUACUGAUAACUUUUCUCCCACAGUAGUCUGCACAUCAGGUUCUAAGACAAUGAAAAGUGCCCAGCAGAAAGGAAAUUUUCUAGGUCAUUUCCAACAUGAUUUCUCCAUAUGCUACAGCCAGAAUAAAAUUUGUCUUCAGGUACAGUGUCUUAUUCUUUUGUUCACGGAGACAACCAAGAGCAGUGGAGAUGUCCUUUCUGUUUUAGAACCCUCUGGGGCCUCCUUGAGUCAUAGGGAAAUAUCUCACAUUUGGCAUUGAGUAUUCAGUUAUCAUCCCAUAUCUUAUGGGAGAAACAUUGUCUCCCAUUUAUGGUACAUGCCAUUAAAGGCUUCUUUCUUAUAAAUUAUACUUUAAAAAUAUUUGAUUUAACUUUAAUGUCCAUGUCUGUGUAUGUAGUUAUGUGCAUGAGGAUUCAAGUGCCCUCUGUGUCUAGAGGCAUCAGAUUCCAUGAUGCUGGAGUUACAGAGAGUUUUGUGUCACACACAUGGGUGCUAGAAACCAAACUUUCAUAUGCUAUAAGAGCACUGCAUAAAUUUAACCACUCAGCCUUCUAAGUAGCCACUACUACACUUUUAAAUUAGUGUGCAAAGUAGAUCUGAAAAUAAUCGAUUUUUCUUUUUCUUUUUUGUUUUUGUUAUCCAAACCCCACACUUUCUUAUAUAUCACCAUUCCUGACUGUGCUUACACUUUUAACCCCUACUUUUUUUCAUCUUUAUUAACUUGAGUAUUUCUUAUUUACAUUUCGAUUUUUUCCCCCUUCCUGGUUUCCAGGCCAACAUCACCCUGACCCCUCCCCAUCCCUUUUUCUAUGGGUGUUCCCCUCCCCAUCCUCCCACCAUUACCACCACCAUCCCAACAAUCACGAUCACUGGGGGUUCAGUUUUGGCAGAACCAAGGGCUUCCCCUUCCACUGGUGCCCUUACUAGGCUAUUCAUUGCUACCUGUGAGGUUGGAGCCCAGUGUCAGUCCAUGUAUAGUCUUUGGGUAGCGGUUUAGUCCCUGGAAGCUCUGGUUUGGCAUUGUUGUUCAUAUGGGGUCUCAAGCCCCUUCAAGAUCUUUCAGUCCUUUCUCUGAUGCCUUCAAUGGGGGUUCCAUUCUCAAUUCAGUGGUUUGCUGCUGGCAUUCGCCUACGUAUUUGCUAUAUUCUAGUUGCGUCUCUCAGGAGAGAACUACAUCUGCUACCUGUUGACCUGCACUGCUUUGCUUCAUCCAUUUUAUCUAGUUUGGUGGCUGUAUAUGUAUGGGCCACAUGUGGGGCAGGCUCUAAAUGGGUGUUCCUUCUGCCUCUGUUCUAUAACUUUGCCUCCCUAUUCCCUCCCAAGGGUAUUCUUGUUCCCCUUUUUAAAGAAGGAGGGAAGCAUUGGCAUUUUGGUCAUCCUUCUUGAGUUUCAUGUGUUCUGUGCAUCUAGGGUAAUUCAAGAAUUUGUGCUAAUAUCCACUUACCAAUGUGUGCAUACCAUGUGUGAUUGGGUUACCUCACUCAGGAUGAUAUUUUCCAGUUCCAUCUAUUUGCCUAUGAAUUUCAUAAAGUCAUUGUUUUUGAUAGCUGAGUAUUAUUCAAUUGUGUAGAUGUACCACAUUUUCUGUAUCCCUUACUCUGUUGAAAGGCAUCUGGGUUCUUUCCAGCUUCUGACUAUUAUAUAUAAGGCUGAUAUGAACAUAGUGGAGAUUUUGUCUUUGUAAUAUGUUGGGGCAUCUUUUGGGUAUAUGCCUAAGAGAGGUAUAGCUGUGUCCUCAAGUAGUUCAAUGUCCAUUUUUUCUGAGGAACCUCCAGACUGAUUUCCAGAAUGUUUGUACAAGUCUGCAAUCCCAGAGGAUUGGAGGAGUAUUCCUCUUUUUCCACAUCCUCACCAGCAUUUGCUGUCCCCUGAGUUUUUGAUCUUAGCCAUUCUCACUGGUGUGAGGUGAAAUAUUGGGGUUGUUUUGAUUUGCAUUUCCCUUAUGACUAAAGAUGUGCAUUUCUUUAGGUGUUUCUCAGCCAUUUGGCAUUCCUCAGCUCUGAAUUCUUUGUUUAGCUCUGAACCACAUUUUUUGAUAGGGUUAUUUGUCUCUUCCCAAGUCUAACGUAUUGAGUUCUUUGUAUAUUUUGGAUAUAAGCCCUCUAUCACUUGUGGGGUUGGUAAAGAUCUUUUCCAAAUCUGUUGGUUUUCAUUUUAUCCUAACAGUGUCCUUUGCCUUACAGAUGCUUUGCAGUUUUAUGAGAUCCCAUUUGUUGAUUCUUGAUCUUAGAGCAUAAGCCACUGGUGUUUUGUACAGGAAAUUUUUUCCAGUGCCCAUGUAUUCAAGAUGCUUCCCCACUUUUUCUUCUAUUAGUUUGAGUGUAUCUGGUUUGAUGUAUAGGUCCUUGAUCCACUAGGACUUAAGCUUUGUACAGGGUGAUAAGCAUGGAUCGAUCUGCAUUUUUCUACAUGUGGACCUUCAGUUGAACCAGCACCAUUUGCUGAAAAGGCUAUCUUUUCUCAAUUGGAUGGUGUUGGCUCCUUUGUCAAAAAUCAAGUGAUCAAGGAGUAUGGAUUCAUCUCUGGGUCUUCAAUUCUAUCCCAAUGGCCUAUGUCCCUAUUGCUCUGAAAUAAUGCUUGAUUUCAGAGAUAGUGAUGCACCCAGAAGUCCUUUUAUUUUUGAGGAUAGUUUUAGCUAUCCUGAGUUUUUUGUUAGUUCAGAUGAAUUUGGAAAUUGCUCUGUCUAACUCUCUGAAGAACUGUAUUGGUAUUUUGAUGGGGAUUGCAUUGAAUCUGUAGAUUGCUUUUAGUAAAAUGGCCAUUUUUACUAUAUUAAUCCUGCCAAGCCAUGAGGAUGGGAGAUCUUUCCAUCUUCUGAGAUCUUCAGUUUCUUUCUUCAGUGGCUUGAAAUUCUUAUCAUACAGAUCUUUCACUUGCUAGAUUAAAGUCACCUCUGGCAAACCAAAUCCAAUGUUUUUAUAUUAUUUGGGACUAUUAUGAAGGGUGUCGUUUCCCUAAUUUCUUUCUCGGUUUGUUUAUGUUUUGUGCUGAGGAAGGCAACUGAUUUAUUUGAGUUAAUUUUAUACCCAGCAACUUUGCUGAAGGUGUUUGUCAGGUUUAGUAGUUCUCUGGUGGAAAUUUUGGGAUCACUUAAAUACACUAUCAUAUUAUCUGCAAAUAGCGAUAUAUUGACUUCUUCUUUUCCAAUCUGAAUUCCUUUGAUCUCUUUUUGUUGUCUGAUUGCCCUGGCUAGCAUUUCAAUCUUAUGUUGAAUAAGUAGGGAGAGAGUGGCAACCUCGUCUAGUCCCCGAUUUUAGUGGGAUUGCUUAAAGUUUCUCUCCAUUUACUUUAAGGUUAACUACUGGUUUGCUCUAUAUGGCCUUUACUAUGUUUAGGUAUUGGACAUGAAUUUCUAUUCUUUCUAGUUAUUUUACCAUGAAGGGGUGUUGAAUUAUGCCAAAUGCUUCAUCAGAAUCCAAUGAAAUGAUCAUGUGGAUUUAUCUUUCAGUUUAUUUAUAUAAUGGAUUAUGUUGAUGGUUUUCUGAAUAUUAAACCAUCCCUGCAUGCCUGGGAUGAAGCCUAUUUGAGAAUGAUGGAUGAUUGUUUUGAUGUGCUCCUGGAUUUGGUUUGCCAGAAUUUAGUUGAGUGUUUUUGCAUCGAUAUUCACAAGGGAAAUUGGUCUGAAGUUCUCUUUCUUUGCUGUGUCUUUGUGUUGUUUAGGAAUAAGUGUAAUUGUGGAAAUAUAGAAGGAAUUCGAUAGUGCUCCAUCUGUUUCAAUUGUGUGGAAUAGUUUGGAUAGUAUGGCUACGAGGUCUUCUAUGACGUUCUGAUAGAAUUAUGCACUGAACAGAUCUGGGCCUGGGCUUUUUUUAGUUGGGAGACUUUUAAUGACUGCUUCUAUUUCUUUAGGAGUUAUGGAGUUGUUUAAAUGGUUUAUCUGUUCAAUGAUUUAAAUUUGGCACCUGGUAUCUGUCUAGGAAAUUGUCCAUUUCCUCCAGAUUUUCAAGUUUUGUUGAAUAUUGAAAGGAGGAUCUGAUUUUUUGAAUUUCUUCUGAUUUUGUAGUUAUGUUUCCCUUUUCAUUUCUGAUUUUGUAAAUUUGUACACACUCUCAGUGUCCUUUCGUUAGUCUGGCUAAGGGUUUAUCUAUCUUGUUGAUUUUCUCAAAGAACCAACUUUUGGUUGUAUUGAUUCUGUGUAUGGUCCUUUUUAAUUCUACGGGGUUGAUUUCAGCUCUGAGUUUGAUUAUUUCCUGCCUUCUACUCCUCCUGGGUGUGUUUGCUUCUUUUUCUUCUAGAGCUUUUAGGUGUGCUGUCAAGUUGCUGAUAUAUGCCCUCUCCUGUUUCUUUCUGCAGGCACUCAGAACUAUGAGUUUUCCUCUUUGCACAGCUUUCAUUGUGUCCCAUAAGUUUGGGUAUGUUGUACCUUCAUUUUCAUUAAAUUCCAAGAAAUCGUUACUUUCUUUUUUUCUUCCCUGAGGUUAUCAUUGAGUAGAGCAUUGUUCAACUUCCAUGUAUAUGUGGGCGUUCUUCCCUUAUUGUUUUUGAAGACCAGCUUUAGCCCGUCAUGGUCUGAUAGGACACAUGGGAUUAUUUCUAUCUUUCUGUAUCUAUUGAGGCCUGUUUUAUGACCAAUUAUAUGGACAAUUUUGGAGAAAGUAUCAUGUCCCACGCUACGUCUCGCCAGCAAGAAUGACGCAGGACACAAAGGAUCCUUCUGCAGAAAUAGCUUUAAUGCAUCUUGAGAGCGAGAGCACAAGCUUACAAUACAGAGACCCUGAGUGAGGGAAAGACCAUCCCUUAUAUAGGAAACUAUCCUAGCCUAGGACGUGUCACUCUCUGGCUGGUCGCUGCCAAAUGUGCCAGAUGACAUACCACAGCAUACGUGUCCCCCUGAGUGAGGAAUUUACCAGGCGCUUGCGUAUUGCCCUUUUAUUAGGUGCAUCCUGCCGGAUAUCGGCGCCAUCUUACAAUGGAGAAUGUGAGGACGGCCCUCCACAUCUCCCCCUUUUCUGUUUUUAAGCAAAUAGGACACCCAUAAAUAGGAGGGUGAAGGCAGAGGUCAUAUCCUCGCACAAAGUUGGCGAACCUGUACAAGAGAGAUACCCUUAAGCUGUUGUUGAGACCCAGGGCACUCCCGACCCAUCACACUGCCAUUUUUCAAGGGAGGGAAAACUGGGGCAGAUACCCUCAUGUAAUAUGACAUGCCUUCCAGGGAGCAUGUUUGGUAGAACUUCCCUGUGCGAUACUAAGCUUGUCAUCCCUCAUGGGCUGCUCAAGCCGGACACUCUAAUCCUGUGCAAUGAACCGAGGUUCUAGGAGUGCAAGAGCUGUCCAGCCAGCGACUUAUUGCUUUAGCAUGGUUAACCAAAUAUUGGCUGACGCACCUUGUUCAAGGGCUAUAAGCGCCUGGGCGAUCACAAUUUUGUCCCUCUUUGUUUGAAAUCUCAAUUUGCAAAGCAACCAGAGGAGUAACACUAAUCCGCAGCAGAGAACUACUCCAAACAGUCCCACCCCCACCCAUUCCUUAAAAUAAGAGACUGCUGAGGUGAUCCAGGAUGACAAUCCUUCUGUCAAAGACAGAUCCAGUUGGGUAGAGUUUACUUGAAUGAUGGCCGCUCUCAGUUCCCUGAGUGUCUGCUCAAAAUCCGAGGUCAAAUUCUGUAACAAAUGCUGUGAAAGGGUUUUAGACAAAUUGGCAGCUUUGGUAAAUUGUUCAUACUGUAUAGACGUGACACAAAGGCCGGGGAGCUUUUGUUCACAGCCAAGCUGGGCCAGUUGCCAUAGGAUGUCUAGAUGCUCUUGGACCAGAUCUAUAUGUUGGUUAACAAGCAUGAGGCCUCCUUGUAUCUGAGUAUUAGCCGAGGCCUGUCUGUCCAGAGCCACAGAGACGGUAGCCGAUAAAUCAUUGAUAGUUUGGGUUGUCUCUACUGAGUUUGACAAGGCCAAUGCCGAGGCGGUAACCGAGGCAGCAACUGCCAUUGUAGCAAUAAUGCCAACAAUGAUCGCAGAAAUGCCAAAAUCUCUUUUUCUUCUAAAUAAGGUCAGGGUCCCUGGAGUCUCAACAGGGACCGGGAUAAAGCGAGGCAUGCGGGUAACUACCGCUAUGGAAUAUUGGCUAGCAUCCCAACACAGGGCAUAAAAACAUGAACUGUAUGUACAAUUCAAAUUAGAAACUUUAGUGGCAUUACUUAUAAUCCACACAAAUGGCGGCCAGACACAAACCGGAGCAGGGUUAAACCCCGUGCUCCAGUAAGGUUUAUAUUUUAUAUGAGUAGCUGUCCAGACAGAGGCUGAAGGGUGGAUAUUCCCCGUCCAGAAAAAUGAUAACCGUCCCUUUUCGCCCUUUCCUCCAAGUAGCAUCACCAUGGGCGUAAGAUCAGUGCAGCUACCAUUAACGCCACAAAGCAUCCAUUGAUCAAAGGGAUUAUUAUUGGACCGUCUAGGAUCAAUGGUGGUGAAGUUCACUCCGCCUCCCAAAUCAGGGGAGAAGGAGAAAAAAUUCUGGACUGCCCAGGCAGAGUCCCAGGACUGGCAACCAGUCCACGGCAAAGUAAGUUUUUCAUCCUGGGUCCCUCUACAAAAGGGUGCCAACUUUGGUUGACAGAGAGGGCAGGUGGAGGAGUUAAUGUAAGGCCACCAACCAUAGAGAACUGUGGCAUUAGCCACAAUGUCUUCCUCACCAGUUCCCCAUGUGGCCUCCCUUAACCAAGCAGAAGAUUGAUUACUCAACAUAAUGCAAGGAAGAUCAGAAGAUGUUUUGUUGAAUAUGCCAAAACAAAGGCUGCCCUUAAGGGGAAUAGUCCUAUUUUCUUUUACUUGCUGUAUUUGGGAAUCUAAUGGUAAAUAGGCUAGUCCCAACUCUUUGUUGGUAGUAAAGAAACGUGGAAAAAACUUGGGCAUUAUACAUCACCGGCAUUGGGAGGGGGAAGGUUGACAUUAUUCCCUACCGUAGUUCGCUCUGCACUUUUAUUGGCACUCCCUGGAUCAGCAUGAGGAUCACCAGAGUUGUCAUCUUCUUGGUCCUCUGUCUUGAUAUUCCUAGUAAGUCAUCCCGGAACCCAAACUGGAUUAUCAUUAUCCUGUGGAAAAACGCAAACAGCUCCCCUGGAUCUUAUCAAAACAGGAUCCGGGCCCUUCCAUUUGUUUGUCAAUACACCCUUCCAUUUAACUAAUUCUUUUGUCCUUUUGGGCUCUGAGCAAUGUCGCUCAGCCGCUGUUUUCCCAGCUUCAUCAAGAUUUAAAAAAAUUAAGGUAAAAAGGGCCAAAGCAGUGGCCACUCGGGUUGUUGGGGGAAGUUCUAUCAUAAUUCCCCCUCUUUGUUUUAUUAAAUAUGAUUUGAGCGUCCGAUGAGCGCGCUCUAUGAUUCGCUGUCCUUGAGGGUUGUAGGGCAGUCCCGUCAGAUGGGUAACCUGCAUCUGAGCACAAAACUGAUGGAAUUUUUGAGAUGUAUAGGCGGGGCCAUUGUCAGUUUUUACACAUCUUGGCCUUCCCCAAGCACUCCAUGCUUCAAGGCAGUGCUGAAUGACAUGUGUUGUUUUUUCUCCUGUAAUUGGGGUGGCAUGUAGAAUGCCAGAACAUGUAUCUAUAGAUACAUGCACAUACUGUAAUUUUCCAAAAGUAGAAUUAUGAGUAACAUCCAUUUGCCAGAUUUGCAAUGGCUGUAUUCCUCUCGGGUUGACCCCGAUGUGAGGAACUGGGAGGAACUGGCAGCACUGUUGGCAUUGGGUGACUAUAUCACGUGCCUCUUUUCUAGUUAUAGAGAAGCGAGAAGCGGCAGUGUAAAGUUUCCGAGGUAACAUGGAAAUUGCCAUGAAAAGUUUUAGCGGCCUCUAGAGGAGAGGCCAGGGCCACAGCUAUCAUUUUUGUGGCUUUGUCAGCCAAAUCAUUCCCUGAACUCAUUGGACCAGGGAGUCCAGAAUGGGCCCGUAUAUGAGUAAUAUAUACAGGGAAUCUCCUAUUUAUUAAAAUAAUUUGGAUUUUUUGGAAAAUCUCUGCUACCUUGCUAGUUGUUUUAAUUACGCCGGCGGUUUCAAGGAUAUUAACAGCAUUGACCACAUAGGAGGAAUCUGAAACAAUAUUUAGAGGCAUCUGGAAUUUUUCAAGGACCUCCAUGACCACUAGGCAUUCUACCACUUGGGGUGAGGUUUCAAAAUAUUGUCGUGAGAACACUUGGGAAUUUACCACAUAUGUUCCCACCCCUGUUUUUGACCCAUCCGUAUACACUGUUAUCCCUUCUUUUAACGGUCUGUGGGAUGUGACGCGAGGGAAAACAACAGGUUGUGAUCUAGCAAAACAUAAUAGGGGGUGUUUAGGAUAAUGAUUAUCUAUCUGUCCAGCAAAGGAAGUAACUAACACUGCCCAAGCAUUUGAGGUAGCUGCUAAUGUUUGAACCUGAAUGGCUGUAUAUGGUACUAUCAAAGUUUUGGGUUCUUUCCCAAAAUGAGUAAUAGCUGCCUUCAACCCGCGGAGUGCAAGCUGAGCGACUGCAUCGGGAUACCAGUCAAUAAUCUUAGCAGGAGAUGCAUUGGGAUGGAUCCAUAAUAAAGGCCCAUUCUGCCACAAGACAGCUGUUGGUAAUUGCACAGUUUUGAAAAUGCACAAAUCAAAAGGUUUGGUUUCAUCAAUGCACUGCAAUUGAGCAUCCUGUAAGGCCUUUUCUACAACUUGUAAGGCCCGGUUUGCAGCUGGGGUCAAUGCUCUCGGAGAGGAGAUAUGAGAGUCCCCUUCCAAAAUAUCAAAUAAGGGCUUCAACUCAGCAGAGGAAAUCUUUAAAAAUGGUCUCAGCCAAUUUAUAUCUCCCAAUAACUUUUGGAAAUCAUUUAAGGUAUGUAAAUGAUCUCUGCGAAUCUCUAAUUUCUGGGGAACUAUUUUUUCAGGAUAAAUGACCGAUCCCAGAAAUGAGCCAAUUUUUGCAAUUUGAACCUUUUCUACAGCGACUUGUAGUCCCCAUCGUCCCAAUGUUUUGAUUAAGAUGGGAUAUGAGGUCUGUAAGGUUGUUAAAUCUUUAUCACAUGUUAAAAUGUCAUCCAUGUAAUGAGCCAGAAGCAAAGAUGGAAAUUGCUUCCUUAUAGGUUCAAGGGCGCGUUGCACAUAUAGCUGACAAAUAGUGGGGCUAUUGGCCAUGCCUUGAGGUAGGACCUUCCACUGAAAUCUCUUAUCAGGUUCAAGAUGAUUAGUAGCUGGUAUAGUAAAUGCAAACCUCUGUCUGUCCUGUGGACACAAGGGGAUGGAAAAGAAACAAUCCUUAAUGUCUAUAAUUAUUAUCUUCCAUUGCUUAGGUAAGGUGGAGAGUAAGGGUAGGCCUCGUUGGAUCGAGCCAAAUAAACGCAUCUGUGCAUUAAUGGCUCUCAAAUCAUGGAGAAGUCUCCAUUUUCCUGAUUUUUUCUUUAUCACAAAAAUAGGAGUAUUCCAUGGUGAAAUGGACGGUUCUAAAUGACCAAGCUGCAAUUGUUCAUUAACCAAUUUAGUGGCAGCUUCUAAUUUUUCAGAGGAUAGAUGCCAUUGAGGAACCCAUAUAGCCUCAUCUGUAAGCCAGGGUAUGGGCAUAGAACCCUCAAUGGCACCUAGGAAAAACCCAGGCCUUGUUUAUGGGGGUUUGCGACUGGUUCAAUGGGCAUGAAACAGCCCUGUUCUAAUCGCCCUAGGCCUUUCCCUUCCUUAUAGCCCAUCCUGGACAUCAUGUGGGCCACUUGUGGGGGGUAUUCGUUAGAUAAGUUUAGUCCCAUGGUCUGCAUAACAUCUCUCCCCCAAAGAUUAACAGGUAGGGGAAGUACAUAGGGAACAAAUUGUCCCUGUCAGCCAUCGACAGUCGUCCAAGUUAGAGUGGUAGAGCUGAUUUUAGGGCACGACUGGUUGCCUAAGCCUUGUAGUGAGUGAGAAGAUCUUAUGGUAGGCCAUGAUGGAGGCCACCAUUUUGAGGAAAUUAUACUUUUAUCAGCCCCAGUAUCCAGAAUGCCUUCAAAUUUCUAUCCAUUAAUUUCUAAGCUCAAUUUUGGGCGGUUGUUAAGAUGAACCACCAAAUAUGCCAAAUCAUUACCAGUGGACACCAUGGGCCCCUUGGUAUCCUGUAUUGUGGUUUGGGAGCACAGAAGGAGUAAUAACUGUGCUAUUCUAUCUCCCUCACUUAUGGAAAAAACCCCAUCGGGACUUGAACAAAGAAUCUGAAUAUCAAGAGAGUGCUGAGCUUCAACAAGGCCUGGAUGGACUAUCAGUCCUUGUAGGGCGAGAGAUCCUCUCCCAAGGACAAGGCCUAUGGUUCCUGGGGGCAAAGGCCCCACAGUCUGAGCAGGAAUUGGCUGAAUGCCCAUCUGGGGCAUUAGAAAGAAGUCGGAGGCGGCACACACGUCCAGUUUUGUGUCACCUCUUGGGGAGUCUCCUCUGUCAGGGUCAUGGCUUUCUGAAAGCGGUUCCCAUAUCUUUGAGGGCCCUGGGACCGGGGGCCCAACGAUCCGUUUUUUGACAUCUCAUUAGGCUGAGCUUCUAAGGGAGGGAGUAGUUUGCCCUUAAUAUCCCUCACUGAGCGGCACCGGUCAGGCCUAUGGUAUCCCUUGCCACAUCGGACACAGAUAGUUGCAGGCCUCCUGUCUCCCUUGGUUAUCCUACAGUCUCUUUUUAAAUGGCCCAUUUUUCCACAUUGAAAACAUGAUCUUGUAUCUGUCCCUUUAAGGGGGCAUGGCCGGGACUGGAGAAUGGCGGCCACCAAGCCUGCAUUAGUAAGGGGCCCGCCGAGUUCUCUGCAGACUCUGAGCCAGUCCUGUAAUCCUUUAUUUUUUCUGGGGGCUAUAGCUGCCCGGCAUUCCUGGGUGGCUUGCUCAAAAACGAGCUGUUCUAUAAGAGGCGCUGCUUGCUCCGCAUCGCCAAAUAUUCGUCCCGCAGUUUCUGUCAUUCUGGCUACAAAGUCUGAGAAUGGUUCCUGAGGUCCCUGGAUGAUACGAGUAAGUUGAUUAUCAGCCCCUUUUUUCUUGGUGAGUGCCUUCCAGGCGUUAAUGGCCGAGCUGGAGACUUGAACAUAAGCGCCCCAAUGGUAAUUAGCUUGGUCCGCUGCGAAGCGACCCUGUCCUGUCAAGAGUUCAAACGUCCAUUCUCGCUGCUCAGGCGUUAACGCCGUGGCAUUAGCUCUGGCCUGUGUUUGAGCCGCCUCAUAACAAAGGGCCUUCCAUUCCAUAUAUUGGCCCAUGUUCACAAGGGUCGCUUUUGCAAUCAUUUGCCAAUCGGCGGGUGUCAAAUAAUUUAGGGCCAGCCUUUCAAGAAUGGUUAGGGUGAAAUUGGCUGUAACUCUGUACUUUCUGACAGACUCCGCCAGCUCUUUUAUUUGGUUAUAUUGGACUGGGGCAUGAACCCGCUCACCCUCCUGCGUCUCAAAGACUGGGAACAUCAUGCGCAGCUUCCUUCUCACCCUAUUGGGGACUAAAGAGAAUGCGCAAGAGCGCGCCUCAUACAGAGGGGGCGCGGUUGGCGACUGCCGCGGCAGAAGCUUUCUAUUAUCUACCUUUCGUUCCUCGGGGUGAUAUCUCUCUUCCUCAUAUUUAGCUGCUUCCUCAUCUAACUCGGCCUCCUCCUCUGAAUCUAAGAUUCCAUUCUCAGAGCUAUCAGAACUGUGGAGGUUCAGCACUUCUAGCUCUUUCACAGGGUAUAUGCUGGCUCCCCCUCCCGGUUGCUGUGUAGAGAGGGAAGUGCCGGAAUCUGAAAGCUUUAACCCUUCCUUGUCCGCGGAUUUAACGGGAGGGCUCUUUUUCUUUUUCAGGACGUCCUUUCUCUUGCACGUGCCUAAUCUCUCACUACGUUCAGUUUCUGACAUCCCAUCCUGGACCAUCUUGAUUCUGAAUCCUCCUUGUCACCAAGGGGUCUCCGGAGGUGCUGAUGAGGUCUUUUUCCCGGGUUUCUGGCACCAAAUGUCCCACGCUACGUCUCGCCAGCAAGAAUGACGCAGGACACAAAGGAUCCUUCUGCAGAAACAGCUUUAAUGCAUCUUGAGAGUGAGAGCACAAGCUUACAAUACAGAGACCCCGAGUGAGGGAAAGACCAUCCCUUAUAUAGGAAACUAUCCUCACCUAGGACAUGUCACUCUCUGGCUGGUCGCUGCCAAAUGUGCCAGAUGACAUACCACAGCAUACGUGUCCCCCUGAGUGAGGAAUUUACCAGGCGCUUGCGUAUUGCCCUUUUAUUAGGUGCAUCCUGCCGGAUAUCGGCGCCAUCUUACAGUGGAGAAUGUGAGGACGGCCCUCCACACCUCAUGAAGUGGUGAGAAGAAGGUAUAUCCUUUUGUUUUAGGAUAGAAUGUUCUAUAAAUAUCAUUUAAGUCCAUUUGGAUCAUGACUUCUCUUAGUCUGUCUAUGUCUCUAUUUAUUUUCUUUUGUUUCCAUGAUCUGUCCAUUGAUGAGAGUGAGGUGUUGAAAUCUCCUCCCAUUAUUGUGUGGGGUACUAUGUGUGCUUUGAGCUGUAGUAAGAUUUCUUUUAUGUAUGUAGUUGCCCUUGUAUUUGGAGCAUAGAUAUUUAGGAUUGAGAGUUUAUCUUGGUGGAUUUUUUUCCUUUGAUGAAUAUGAAGUGUCCUUCCUUAACUUUUUUGAUGACUUUUAGUUGAAAAUUGAUUUUAUUACAUAUAAGAAUGGCUACUCCAGCUUGCUUUUUCAGACCAUUUGCUUGGAAAGUUGUUGUCCAGCCUUUCACCCUGAAGUAGUGUCUGUCUUUGUCUCUGAGGUGUGUUUCCUUUAGGCAGCAAAAUGCUGGGUCCUCAUUGAGUAUCCACUUUGUUAAUCUAUGUCUUUUUAUUGUGGAGUUGAGUCCAUUGAUGUUGAGAGAUAUUAAGGAAUAGUGAUUGUUGCUUCCUGUUAUGUUUGUAUUUGGAUGUGAGAUUAUGUUUGUGUGCUUUUCUUCUCUUUGAUUUAUUCUCACGAUGAGUAGUUUCUUGCUAUUACUAGGGUGUAGCUUGCCUCCUUAUGUUGGGCUUUGCCAUUUAUUAUCCUAUGUAGGGCUGGAUUUGUAGAAAUUUAUUGUGUAAAUUUGGUGUUGUCUUGGAAUAUCUUUGUUUCUCCAUCUAUGUUAAUUGAGAGUUUUGCUGGAUACAGUAACCUGGGCUGGCAUUUGUGUUCUCUUAGUGUUUGUAUGACAUCUGUUCACGAUUCUGGCUUUCAUAGUUUCUGGUCAGAAGUUUGGAGUGAUUCUGAUAGGUCUGCCUUUAUAUUUUACUUGACCUAUUUCCCUUACUGCUUUUAAUAUUCAUUCUUUGUUUUGUGCAUUUGGUGUUUUGACUAAUAUGUGGCAGGAGGAGAUUCUUUUCUGGUCCAAUCUGUUUGGAGUUCUGUAGGCUUCUUGUAUGUUUAUGGGCAUCUCUUUCUUUAGGUUAGGGAAGUUUUCUUCUAUAAUUAUGUUGAAGAUAUUUACUGGUCCUUUGAGCUGGGAGUCUUCACUCUCAUCUAUACUUAUUAUCCUCAAGUUUGAUCUUCUCAUUGAGUCCUGGAUUUCCUGUAUGUUUUGGACCAGUAGCUUUUUCUGCUUUACAUUAUCUUUGACAGUUGUGUCAAUGCUUUCUAUGGAAUCUUCUGCUUCAGAGAUUCUCUCUUCUAUCUCUUGUAUUCUCUUCGUUAUGCUUGUAUCUAUUGCUCCUUCUCUUUUCCUUUGUUUUCUAUAUGCAGGUUUCUCUCCCUUUGUGCUUUCUUUCUUGCUUCUAUUUCCAUUUUUAAUUCCUUCACCUGUUUGAUUGUGUUUUCCUGGAAUUCUUUCAGGGAUUUUUGUGAUUCCUCACUAUAGGCUUCUACUUGUUUAUUUAUGUUUUCCUCCGUUUCCGUAAGGGAGUUAUUUAUGUCUUUCUUGAAAUCCUCCAUCAUCAUGAGCAAAUGUGAUUUGAAACCUAGAUCAUGGUUUUCUGGUGUGUUUGGAUAUUCAGUGUUUGCUUUGGUGGAAGAAUUGGACUCUGAUGAUGCCACGUAGUCUUGGUUUCUCUUGCUUGGUUUCCUGCACUUGCCUCUUGUCCUCAGGUUUUCUCUGGUGUUACCUCGUUCUGCUAUUUCUGACAGUGGCUAGACCAUCCUUUAGGCCCGUGUUCCUGGAAUGCUGUAUACCUGUUUUCCUGUGUUCUUUCAGCCAGUAAUGGGAACAGAGUGUUCUGUUUCUUGUGUGUAGUCUUACCUGUCUACUGGUCUUCAGCUGUUUCUGUGGGCCUGUGUUCUGAGUCCACCAGGCAGGUUGCUUGGAGUAGAAAAGUUGGUCUUACCUGUGACCCCAUUGCUGAAGUUCCUCCAGUGGGCUGCGUUUGAGCUCUCCAUGAUGACAGCAACCAGGAGGGCCUGUGCAGCCUUUUCCUGGGACUCCUGUGCAACAGGGUCCCAGAUGAUGUUAGGUGUUUUCCUCUGAAGUCAUAAAUGUGAGCAGAAUGUAGUCUCUUCUAGCUUCCCAGGCAUGUCUGCCCCUCUGAAUGUUUAGCUCUCCCUCCCACAGAUUGGGGUGCAGGGAGCUUUUGAUCAGGUCCCUUCAGCUCUGGGCAGUGUCUGGACUGCAGGGGACCUGCCGCUUGAGUGCCUCUAUAUUCCUGUUCCCAGAGGCCUUAUACAGUUUCCUCUUGGCCAGGGAUGUGGGCAAGGGUAGGCAGUAUUGGUGGUCUCUCCCACUCUGUAGUCUCAGGAGUGCCCACCUGUCCGGGCAGUGAGCUUUCUCUCCCAAGGGGUUUGGGAGCAGGGAACGGUGAAUCCACUACUUUCAUAGCACAUGUAUUCUAUUAAUACUCUCAACCUAUAAGGCCUCUGACCUUCCCAUUCUGAUAGACUGUUUCUUGCUUUCUAAAUUGACAGAUGCUCAAAAUUAAACUGUUGAGUCUAAAAAGGUAGUAAAAGAUGAAAAGUGGUAACUAUUAAUCAAAUAAUAUUGAUAUAUAAAUGGAAAUAUAGCUUAUUCCAUUUAAAAGGAGAAACUAACAAAUUGUGUUAAAACUAAGACUGAGUAUAUAUGUUAAAAUUUAUUAUAUAUAUGAAAAAAAGGAGAGCAGGCUUACCAUGACAUUGACAUUUAAAAUGCGGAGUCCUACAUUAGCAUAAGAACAUUUAAACUAUCUCAGAAAAUGAAAGUUAAUUCAUGGAGUCCCAUCCCUAGGAAAAGUAUUGUAAACAAGUAUUAACUACUUAGAGGAGGAGAAUUAGCAUCUUCCAGAGAUGAAUUCACAUACAGUUGUACAUUGUAGAGUGGUCCUCUCUCAAAUCCUAUAUAUACAAACUCCAAAAACCCUAAGCUGGUUGUACAUCUUAUUUAAGAUUUAUUUUCCUUUACUCUAUCUUAUUAAGUAUAUAUGAAUUUAAUUUCUAAUACAUCUAGCACUAUUUUCCUUACAUUUACUUAUUUAUUAAUUUAUGUAUUUACAUAUAUGCAUAUCCUCUUCUUACUCUGUAUAAUAAGCACAUUUAGAUGCCUUCUGAACCAUAAAGAGGUACUUAACUACAAAUACACUUGAUCUGUAGUUAUCGGUGGUUGUGAUCCCCUGAAGUAUAUGUUGUGAAGUAAAUUAUGUCCUUUAUGAGAAUAUUACAUGACCUUAACAAGUAAGCAAACUUUCGACCUCAUAUUAUAUUAAAGUUUCCAGCGACUUGUUCUAAAAUCUACUGAAGAAGGCCUUUCAAAUGUGUGCUAAUUAAUCUACUUACCUUCUUUAAACUCAAUAACAAUUUUCUCAAUAAUUUUUAGUACAAAUUAAUAAAAUGAUUUGAAAUGCCCAUGGCAAAACAAAGGACCUAAAAUCCUACAAAAUAAUUUUAAAAGGAACAAACUUAGAAGACACAUCCCUCAUAUCUAUAUUAGAUAACUAUCUUUGUCCCUGUUCAGCCCAUGUUUAAACAGUCAAGUUGAUAAGACAUCGUGGGUGUACUGUCUGACAUUGACAGCUGACACAAUUUCACAACAAACUCCAGGAUACUCUGGCCCUUAUCCUCUUUCAAUUACACCUUCAAGAUGCCAAAUCCUUAUGCCUAGUGGUUCCUUUGUAGGUAUAUCUGUUGUGACUGGACUCCAUAGCUCCUUUUGGUCUGUUUUGGUUUUAUGAAAUGGCCUCUGUCUUGAACAAAAGAAAAUUUUCUCAUGUAUCCGAAGUCUAGGAAGUAUAGCAUAAAGUUUGUGCAGAUUCAAUGGCCUCGUGAGGCCAUUUUCUGAUUCCUAAAUGACCCUCUUCUGUGUAUUCACACAGAGGAGUCCCUUUGUAUUUUUCCUGAAUAGAAACGUGAGUCUUAUCUGUUAUAGUUCUCUGCUCAUGACCUAAUGGUCUCCCAGCAACCUCACCUCCAAGUUUUACUAAUCCGAUUCCAACACAUGUAUCCUUGGUGAUACACACAUCUGGUUCAUAAGAGUCAAGUGAACCUGACAGUGAACAGUAGCCCAUAAGUGACAUAAACAUUAUCAACACUAAGUCAUUUUCCAUCACAAUGUUUUAUCCAACCAACAAAAUGAAACUAAGUAAAGAUAUUACAAUCCAUAGCUGUUGCUUUUGGAAAGAAAUUGUUGAACACCUAAAGGAUUAUUGACUAAAGGAAAAUGUUCACAACAUAAACAAUGAACUUAAAUGAGAUAGAGAUUGGGAAUAGGAGGACCCAUGUUAUAUAAAGAAUAAAACUGGAAAAAUUGGACAGGGUGUUCGUUUGGAAAAGGUAAGGGCAAUGUACUACUAAGGGAGAUGUAGGAAAGUAUAAAAUAAAUUUCUUCCACUGUUUUGGUAGGUAAUCCCACUAAGUAGAACAAUUUAUUUUCAAAAUCAUACAAGUCCUUCUGCUUCUUCCUCUCAUGAGCUGGGAUUUAACCUGUGAAUUUCCAUGCCUUGUUAUCAAUUAUGUUGUUCCUGUCAUACCAUAGCAGUACCAAAACAACAUGAAAUUUGUUGAAUAAGACUGCAGGAAUAUGCUAGAGGUGUAUUUUGAUAGAAAAACCAUUGGAAAAUGCACCAUAGAACUAGUCAUCAAGUACAGGUGUCAGCUCUUCCAUAGUCACUGUUGAAGACCCAGCAUCUAACUACAGUGUCAGUUUCAGUCUUCUUGCAUUUGGGAAAAAAAUGGUCAGUAUGAACCCCAGAGUAAGAAGUGUAUGUAAUCUGUCAAUCAUGAAGGGAUAGAAGGAAAAAUGGAAAUCAGUAUCUACAAAAGGGUAGAAGCACUGAGGGUGGUGUGGAACACAGAGCAUUUCUCUAUGCCCAGCUGAGCUGUCCAACUAUCCACAUCUGAUGCAGAGUACAAGAUGUUGUGAUGGCUUGAGCAGUGCCGAAAUAGAGGGUGAAGUGUUGUAAGGGUACAGGAGAAGGAUGAAGUGCUAACGACUAUCCUUGGAAUAGGCAAAGAUAAGCUAUGGUAGUAAAACUUGUUUCAGAAUAAUUUUCCUUUCAAACUUUCCUUUAAUUUGUCUUAUUUUCCAAGAUCAAUGUUUCAUUAAAGCACAUGUGAGAGCAUUCUUGGAAACCAUCCUUGAUCCAGCCACCUGGUGAAUAAGUAAGACAAGGAUCAACAUGUGUGUGUUUGUCAAAUCAGUGACUCAGAAAAUGAGGAGUCAGUCUCCAGUGAGAUUGGUCAUAGUCAGAAAGAAGACUAAGAUCAAUCUCAUCUGUAGCCAUCAUCCCUCAUACUAUAAUAUGCUUACAGCCAGAACUCCAAUCGAAAAACUCCAAAGUGGAGUCGUAGGGAACAAAUUUAAUCUACCUGAUUAUGUCUAGCUAGAAAUUCCCUGGAAACCCUUCAGGGACCUACCAAAUGUAUAAUUUCACCUCUGAGGUUUGUUCCUCUAAGAGCCAGUGAUGGCAGUAGAUACACAGAGAGAAUUUUCCUACUUUAACAGGAAAGCACAUUCUCCUAGUUUCCACUCCUAUUCCCCAGGGAUAGAGAAUUGCACAGCUCUUGAGGGAAAGUAUAAUCCAUCAUCUUGAGACUUCCUGCCUUACAUUUCAGAAGAAGCUGCCCUCAAGGUACAAGGAACACAUUUGUUCAUUUUUAGUCCAACAGAAACUGUCCAUUCCGAGCUGAACAUAGUGCACUGGAAGCAUAUCAGAGAUAAAAAUGGAAAAUAAAAUUUAAGAUGUUCCUUUGAGGGCAGGCUCAAGCAUCAGACAAGAACUGGGACAGUGGCUCUGAUAAAUAAAUUUAAAAAAAAAUGUUGCUGAAAGUCUUACCCCUGUGAGGUGUGCCAAGACAUUGGAUUCAUAAAAUCAAGAAUUGAGGAGAGCUAAAAGGAUUCCCAACCCCAAAUCCUACAUAUAAAAUAGGCAGUGAGAGGAACCACAAAGUUCUCAUGCAGAAACUUGGGCACUCCAUCUAUACAUCUGUUCCCAAAAUUUCAAUGUCUUCAUACCAUCAACCCAUCAUCAUGAUACACUGAUGUGUCAAUGCCCACACCACCACGGCACUGAGAACAGGGAGUAAGCCUGCACGAUUAUAAAACACACAUAUGCAGGUUAUUUUUGUUAUGAAGGAUGUGAAUUCUGUAGCUUUGCUCACUGAAUACAUAUCCCAAAUUGACCAGGUGAAAAAUCGAGGAAGCACAGUGGGAAAGCCCGGCUCUAGACCAGUAACAAAAGACUAAGUACAUGCCCCAAAUUUACUGGGGAGAAAUCCAGGAAGACCAGCCAAAAUCCUAGGGACAAAGAUUGAGAAAAAAAGACAGGAAAUAAUUGACCAUCUCCCAGGUGUAUGCCCAGGUGUGUUGCUACCAGGUCAGGGUGUUCCUGUGUUAGGAACAAAAGGCUUCCACAUGCAUCAGCAGGGCUCAGCAGGGGUCAAACCCUGGAGGGGAUCCAGGAGCCUCUGACAAGUCCCCCUAUUUUAUUUUUUACUAAGCAAGCCUCCCCUCGCCCCUAUUUUAUUUUUUAUUAAGCAGCACCUGUCGUAGGACAUUUUGUGGUGGCAACCUCUUUCUCUUCUCUGGAAAAACUCUGCCAGUUCCAGAGUUUCCUGUCUUAGGUGAGGAUUGGGUCCAAAGAGUUGCCCUUCCUUGGCUAAUUGUUCCUAUGGAAGGCCUAUAAUCUGCCUGGCAAUAAAUUUAUUGUGGCAUUGCCCUCACUGAGGGGUCCAAGCAAUCCAGUUUGAGUUCUUAAAUGGCCUAUAAAGAAACAGCACAUUCUCUGGAAGAGUGGUUAGUGCUCCUACACAAGCUUUAUUUACCUACAUAUUAAACAUUAGAAACAUUAGAAAUGCCAAAUCCUGUUAAUGUUGUCCAGAUUCAGCCUUGCAUAUAAAUCCCUGAGCUGGCAGCUUGAGGCCAGGAGUUGAGAGUAAGCAAAUGGAGUCUUCCUCUUUUUGUGAGGGUGUACUAUCAACUCAAUUACCAUUUCCAAAGAUAUGGGUGUGAGUCUAUGGCCUUUUCAGGCAGUUGCCUGAGCCAGAGUUUUGAAAGGACAGCGAGUUGUCAGACAUUCUUGCUAAAAUCAUCACUCACUGAUUUCGUGGAGAAAACUUGCCUCCAAACAGUUGUAUAGCAUAAAUAAUUGUAACGUUUGAGGGUUAGCAAUAUCUAAGAAGGGAAAAUUUUUAAUCAAUUGUAAACCAUAAGCCACAGAUUGACUAUCAGUAUAUAAAUUGAAAGCUUGAUUUUUUUCAACAUUAAUAACAGCGGCUACAGCAUGUAAUUCAAUAAUCUGUGUAGAAGCAAAGGGAAACUCAAGAGAAUAAACUUGUGAUCCAGUUAUAUAUGCUGACUUUUAAUUAGGUGAACCAUCUAUAAGUAGAGUAAGUUCAUUUUUUAUGGGCUGUAUGCACAAUUAACAGGAAAUACGAAAGCAUGCAUAGAGUAAAAUUAUCAAUUUUGCCUGAAAAUUUUGUAUAUAUAAUGGGCCAAAUAUCAAUACUUUGUAAUAACCAAUUUAGUUGCUGUUUGGAAUAAGGUAUGUUUCACAAGAUUUCUUUUAAAAAUACUUCCAUGACUCUAUCCUACAAUUCUCCAUUAAUACAACAGCUUUAUCUCCCCUGGGGAUAUAAAAAAAGGCUUAAGAUCUCUGGUAAAGUGAGGAACUUAGAGGCUUAAGAUUAAUUUCAAAUAUUGAAAGGAAUAUAGAAUCUUUUCUGGAACAACAGCUACUCCCCAAAAUUUUAAGCUCACUGUGAGAGUAAAAGUUUGUAGUGAAAAUUCCCGUAUACACUGAAAGAUUCAAAGUCUUAACUUCUUAUAUUGAAGCAGUGACAAAAUUACUAAUAUAUAGGGCUAUUAGCCAUUAUUUUGUAAAACUCUUCAAUGAUAUUAUUUCAUGGGCUCUCCAAAAUUAUAGGCAAGUUCACUAAAUGAAAACCUUUCACAAUCACCAGGAUGUAAAGAAAUGGCAUAAAAACAAUCUUCUAUAUCUAUUUUGAAAUGGCAGUUGGUGUAAACAAACAGGCUAUAAUGCUCUUACAAGUUCCAUAACAAUCUCCACCUGUUUGAUUUUUUUCUCAAUUAACAAAUAAGUGUGAGUUAGCCAAUGUAACACUGGCAAUCCUUAACCACUAACUUCAAGUUACACUUGCAAAAGCAAAGCAGAACCAUAACUUUGGAAAGCAAAGCUCAACCUCCAAUGAACAACCUAGUCUCCAAAAUCCAGUUUCUCCAAAACUCUCAGUCUAUCCCUCAUGCUAUAAAGAUUGAUUGCCAAUUCCUGUAUGUGAAUGCAUGAUGGUGCAGCCUUUAAUACGUCAACAAAGAUUCCUAAAUUCUUUUAUUAGCCUGGUUUUUAGGAUAAGAAUUCCAUGAAAAUAUUAUCUCAAUUAGACCUAUUUCCCUGGGUUGUCUCAUGCCAUAUUGCCUAGAAUGACUCCAUUUAAAUUACCAGUUUUAAGCCAACUUUUUGUUACCAAUGUUACAAUUUUUUAACCAUAUAUGAUAACUAAAAGCCAACAGUCUACAACCAAGGCAUGUAGAGCAUAUUUAUACGUCUAAAACCAAUCAGAGCCUCUCCCUGCUUCUUCUCCUCUUGUACCUGUCCCCCUCUCACUCUCUACGUGUUCAUAGCAGGCCUCUACUCCACCUACCUCCUGCCUAUCCCUCUGUCUCAACUCCCCUCUCCAAGACCUAAAUAAACUCUAGUCUAUACUAAAAAAAUAAAUAAAAUCAAUCAGAAACAAAAAUAAAGUGGCUAUGAAUAUCUUUAAUAUUUAGACCAAACACCAUUUUUAUUUUUUCUAGCUGUAAUUUUAUGAGAAGCUCCUUGUCACCUGCUAAGUCCAAUAAUCACCGUCAGGGAUUUUUCUAAGAGAAACAGUCAUCUCCUUUACCAUAAAAGCUGAGAAGCUGCUGGUGCCUUUAAGAUCAGCUACUGCAGACUCUCAGCCCCUGGGGAGCUUCUCCAGCUGACUUAGGCUCCUUGCUAUAGGUGCAGAGCUUCAAAGCUUUUUACUUAUUUGUUCCUCUUUUGAAACAAGUUAAAAGCAAAUCAAGGCAUUAACAACCAGCAGAUAAAGUUUUUACCAUUUUUUGACCAUUUUUACCAUUUUACUUUUUUUUUGAACAUGAAACAUAAAACAUUUAAGCAACUCGAAACCACAGACAUAAACUGAAAUACAGCUUGGUGCACCAAGGACAGAUAAUAGACAUAACUGACAUAACAAGAUGGUGUCCCACCAAAGGGACCCAGAUAUCCUACCUAUGGAACACAGAAAUAGAAAUAAGCAUUUCUCCAAUAGGAGCUAGCAAAGAGACAGGAUGUCUGCUGCCUUCCUUCUCUCCCUAGGAGAGCUCUGAAGAAGCUUAAGCUUAUUUUCCUUCUCUUUCUCCAAAGCUUCUGCAGGGAGUCUGGGAGGACUGUUUUCCCCAAACCUAUUCUCUCUCAUGUAUAGGGUAUAAACUAUCUCUAGUCACUGUCCAAAGACUAAAACUUAACUCAAAAAGAACAUAUAGGCAGAAAUACUUUACCAGUACCUUGUCCCCAUCCCCCCUUUGUUUACAAAUUUUACUCAUGCUAGCCCAAAUCACUGAGGCCUUUUCUAGCACAUCUUACCCCAAUACAUCCCUCCUGAUUCGCCAGCCAGCUUCCCAAGAUGCCCUGUCAGAAAACCUUCUCUUUCACAAUCUUGUUGAGACUUCCAUUUGUUGAUCCCUACACCAACACUGCACCGCGAAAUGAGCAUAAGCUUGUGGGAUUAAAAAACACACAUAUGUGGGUUUGUGUUAAGAAGCAAUGUCAAUUCUGAAGCUUUAUUCACCGAAUAUAUACCACAAGUUGACCAGGUAGAAACACAGUGGGAAACCCUGGCUUAAGACUUCAGUAACAAGAGACUGAAUAUGUGCCCCAAAUUUAUUUGGAAGAAAUCCAGGAAGACCAGACUAAAUCCCAGGGACAAAGACUGAGAACAAAAGACAGGAAUAAAUUGACCAUUGCCCGGGUGCAUGACCAGGUGUGUUGGUACUGGACCAUGGCAUUACUUUGUUAGGAACAAAGGAUUCUACAUGCAUCAGCAGGGCUCAGCAGGGAUAAAAUCCUGCAGGGCACCCAACAGGGUCUGACAAGGGGGUGAAACACUGCAUCGGACCCAGUCCACAAAUCUGUGUUGAUCAAAGUGCCUAAUAGAGGUACCAGACCCUAUCACCUGUAAGGAUCUUAUGUUUUUUGGAAACCCACCCACAAAGAGAGGUUCAGUCAGCGUUAGAGGUAAUGUUUCUCAUUGCUGUGAGAUCUAGAAUCAGGAACAAGACAGAGCACAUAAAUUCCCUCAUCGACAAGACCCAUUUGUAGGUAAAUCUGGGUUGAAGGGCUGACCAGUGGGAUUCUUCACCAUGGACCUGGCAUAUAUCUGGAGAGAGCUCAUUCUGUUCAUGAACCAUGCUCACCUCUCCUUCUUUCCCUAGUUAGACAGGUACUUCCAAUAUCUUUAUACAUUUUUAACAACUUUCUUUUUUUUUUCAGAGCUGGGGACCCAACCCAGGGCCUUGCGCUUGCUAAGCAAGUGCUCUACCACUGAACUAAAUCCCCAACCCCUUUUACCAACUUUCAAAUUGGAAUUCAUGACUCUUUGUGCAGUAAGUGAUAUUGUAGUCCUCUCAAGAAAACUGAUAAUUAAAGCUCUGUACUCUGAGCAUUCAAUACAACAAAUAUCAGCUUAAAGAACAGGUAUAAUCAAGUGACACAUAAGGGAAAAAUUAUAAACGGUUUAUAGAUGUUGAAAGAUGAGGUACUAAACCUUAAUAUGUUAUUUGACUGGGAAAUGUCAAAAGAAUAGCAACAAAGUAUUUUAUUUUAUUUUUAAACUUCUUUUACUCAUUCUUUGAUAAUUUUAUAAAUAUAAACAACAUAUCUUGAUCUUAUCCAUACCUGCUGGGUUCCAGACUCAACACAGGGUCAGAGUUCUCAACUGGAAGCGAUGAUAUCUAGACAGCACAUAAUAAAUAUACACAGAAAACACUUAGGAUACAAACUGACAGGCAAUUUCAAGGCUUAAAGUUUCUCCCUCUCUCUCUCUCUCUAUCUCUGUUUCUCUCUCUCUUGCUCUCUCCCUCUCUCCUCUCUCUUCUCUCCUCUCUCCUCUCACCUCUCUCCUCCCCCCCCUCUCUCUCUUCUCUUCUUUUCUCUUUCUCUGUUGAUAGCUUGUUUACAGCUUGAGACUAAACACACUCUGCAUUCUCUUGCAAACUCUGCUCUUUUUAUUGUGCUUGUCUUUUCUCGAAGUCCCACACUCAUGCAAACUUCUGCUAAUUACCCUUUCAUUCUCACACACACUCUUCAUACACACCUCACACAUUACUCACACACACAAACUUCAUACACACCUCACAUUCUUUCUUCCCUUACUCUUCACAUGCUCUUCUCAUGCUGUCUCAUUCAUUCUCACAUUCGCUCUCACAUUCACUCUCAGAUUUGCUAUCACAUUAGCUCUCUUUUUUACUUGCUCGUUUAUUCUCUGGCCUUUCUCUUACUCCAGUCUUUUAUUGAUAAUCCAAAAGCAGAAAGAUAAAAGCCAUUGUAUAAUCAUUUCCAAAUCAAAUUCAAAAGAAUAACCACAUCCCAGAAAGAAUUAAAUAUUACAAUUGUUCCCUAAAAUUUCAAACUUCCCAUAUUCCCAGGAAUUUGGUCAUAAUGAUAAUAAUUGUAAAGUCAUUAUUAUUUAAACUUUAACUUUUGACAUACUAUAUUUCUGAGUUCAAACCUCUGAUAUCAGCUACUUGCAUUUUCUGUGAAGCUCUAAUGAUAAAAGACAUGGGCAAAGCUGCCAUGCAGUGGCCAGAAAGUAUCAAGUUAACUCUUAUCUCAGUAGUCCUGCUAGCUUUCUGUUCCUUGCACACAUGACUCUUGCAAGACUCCAUUUUGACUGAGUUCUACUAGCAUAUAAUUUUAUAUAUUCUAUACUUCCUUGUCCAUGAACCACUCCCAAAUGUUAUGUAAAACUUAUUUCCAAACUUCAGUAACAUUUUCAUUUCUUGAGAUCCCAAUUAUGGCUCUAAUUCAUGUGUAAUAAUUUCUUUAAAGUUUCUUUACAAGUCAAGUAUUAAUCUGGAACUACUAUUGUACAGUUAAUACAUUACAUCCAAGAUAAGAACACACAGAAUGCACUGGGGCCAUUAGGGCUGUUCUGUGGUGUGCCUCUAUGCAUCAAUUUCAAAAUGUUUAAGAAUCAUUACAUCAAGGAACACCUAGUUUCACAGAAUUCACCAGAGCAGAAGGAUAAUGAAGUGGGAAAGUCAAAUAAAAUAGAAUAAUUAUGCACACCAAAGCCAACUGAAAAGCAGUCACUCACAAAUGAAAUCUAUACAGGUCUUCUCUAGGGCUAAGUUUAGGAGAAAUUGGAACAACCUUUUAUUACAGAGAGCUGCUGUGGGCUACUGAGAUGUUGCCAUCAUGGCCUACUGCAAUCAGACCCUUCCUGUAGGGAAGUGUCUCCUGCUUUUUAUAGUCCUAGAUGCCACCAUUCUUUACUACAAGUUGCUAUUGGAUUCUAAGAUGUCUCCAUCCCAGCCUACUGUUGGCAGUCCCUGCCAUUCUAUGCUGUCCCCAGAACAUACCCAACAUCUCCUUUUUCUCCCCUUCAACUUCCUUUUUCAAACUACAUUACCAAAAAUUUAGAAAAAUAUGAAUUAAAACAAAAACUCCAAAUAAGUACAUAUAUAAGACACAGUAAAGUAUACAUGAUAGGAAAUAAAUAUUAGUAAAAUCAAUGAGUUAUUGGCAAUUUUCUUAGCUAUCAAUAAGCUGAUUUGAAAAAAUAUAAGAACAUAAAUUAACUAAAAUAUCCAAUCUUAACUUUAAGAAAAAGUAAAGCUAGGUGACACACAUUGUUUUAUUUCAAUGUUUCUAAAUACCUGUAAUCAUUAGUUUAUGUAGUCAAUGAGAAAAGGGACAUCACUGAAAUAGACUUACUUGACUGUGCUCCCUAAAUAAUCCUAAUGACACCAAUAUAAUUCUAAAUUAAGGAUGGUGUCUCAAGCAUAUAUAAUAGAAAAAACUAAAUAUUCAGAGGUGAAAAUUUAAUAAAUAAAACUCACCCUUAAAAGUGUACAAUUCCAGACAUGAAUUCUUUCACUCCUGCUAUACAAGCUUCAAAGCUACUAAAAAACAGUUGGUUGCUCCCAGAACAUUUGUGCAAGGCUUGCAGCAGUAUGCAUAUCUUGCCUGUCAAAUAAGAAUUAUAACAUUCAAUGUACCUUGUUAGAUAAAACUACUGAUAACUUUUCUACCAUAGUAGGCUGCACAUCAAGUUCUAAGACAAUGACUAUUACCCAACAGAAAGGAUAUUUUCUAGGUCAUUACCAACAUGAUUUCUCCUUAUGCUACAGCCAGAAUAAAAUUUGUCUUCAGAUACAGUGUCUUACUCUUUGGUUCAGGGAGACAACCAAGAGCAGUGGAGAUGUUCUUUCUGUUUUAGGAUCCUCUGGGGCCUCCUUGAAUCAUAGGAAAAUAUUUCACAUUUGACACUGAGAUUUUCAGUCACCAACCCUUGUCUUAUGGUACAAGUCAUUAAAUUCUUCUUUCUUAUAAAUUAUACUUUUGAAAUAUUUGAUUUGAUUUUAAUGUCCAUGUCUGUGUAUGUAGUUAUGUGCAUGUGGGUUCUAGUGCGAUCUGAGGCUAGAGUCAUCAGAUUUUUUGAAUCUGGAUUUACAGGGAUUACUCAAUCAGCCAUAUGGGUGCUGGAAACAAAUUUUUCAUGCUCUACAAGAGCACCCCAUAUCUCUAACCACUCAGCCUUCUAAAAAGCCACUACUACACUUUUAAAUUAGUAUGUAAUGUAGUUAAAUCAAAAAUGAUAGAUUUUUAUUUGUUCUUUUGUUUUUGUUUUCCAACCCCCAAAACUCUUUAUACUUCAAUAUGCCUUUCUGUCCUUAAACUUUUAUCCCCUACUUUCAUAGCACAUGUAUUCUACUAAUACUCUCACUCCAUAAGGACUCUGACUUUUACAUUCCCAUAGACUGUUUCUAUCUUUCUAUAUUUUACAGAUGCUCAAAGACUAACUUUUCAAGUCUAAAAAGUCAGAAUAAGAUGAAAAGUGGCAAUUUUAUUUAAGUAAUAUAGAUAUAUAAAUGGACAUGUAGCAUAUCCCAUUUAAAACCAGAAACUAAUGAAUUGUAAUAAAACUCAGACUGUGUAGAGACAUUACAAUUAAUUAUAUGUAUAUAUGAACAUAUCUACAUAUCUACAUAUACAUAUGUAUAUAUGGAUAAAAAUGGAGAAUGGGUAUACCCUGCCAUUUACCUUAAAAAAAACUGAGUUCUACAUUAGCAUACUGAUAUUUAAACUGUCUCAGGAAAUGAAAAUUAGUUUAUGGAGUCACACCCAUAGACAAAGAAUUUUAAACAACUAAAAACUACUCAGAGGAUGAAAAUUAGCUUCUUCUGGAGAUGAAUUCCCAUAAGGUCAUGCAACAAAGAGUGAUCAUUUCUCAAAUCAUAUAUACAUAAACAACAAAAACAGCCUUAGCACAUUGUGCAUCUUACUUUACAAUAUAGAUUCCAUUGCUCUUUCUUAAUAUAUAUAUAUAUAUAUAUA
rnacentral:lncRNA from 1 species